GCGUCGGUGGUGCAACUGUUCAUCACACGCUCCUGGAAAGAGUGAGAUCUGGGUUCCACUCCCGGCUGAAGCA